rnacentral:rRNA from 1 species
CCUACGGGUGGCAGCAGUAGGGAAUAUUGCUCAAUGGGGGAAACCCUGAAGCAGCAACGCCGCGUGGAGGAUGAAGGUUUUCGGAUUGUAAACUCCUUUUGUUAGAGAAGAGAAUGACGGUAUCUAACGAAUAAGCACCGGCUAACUCCGUGCCAGCAGCCGCGGUAACACGGAGGGUGCAAGCGUUACUCGGAAUCACGGGGCGUAAAGGGCGCGUAGGCGGGAUAGCAAGUCAGAUGUGAAAUCCUAUGGCUUAACCAUAGAACUGCAUUUGAAACUGUUAUUCUAGAGUAUGGGAGAGGUAGGUGGAAUUUUUGGUGUAGGGGUGAAAUCCGUAGAGAUCAAGAGGAAUACUCAUUGCGAAGGCGACCUGCUAGAGCAUAACUGACGCUGAUGCGCGAAAGCGUGGGGAGCAAACAGGAUUAGAUACCCGGGUAGUC